rnacentral:misc_RNA from 1 species
GAAAUGCGAUAAGUAAUGUGAAUUGCAGAAUUCCGUGAAUCAUCGAAUCUUUGAACGCACAUUGCGCCCUCUGGCAUUCCGGGGGGUAUGCCUGUCCGAGCGUCAUUACGCACCCUCAAGCCCGGCUUGUGUGAUGGGCCCCGGCGUCUCGUUCGCGAGACGGGCCCGAAAGGCAGCGGCGGCGUCGACCCGAUGAGCCCGAGCGUAUGGGGACUUCUGUCACACGUUCGCGGUGCGGACCGGCGCCUGCUUGACUUUUCUGAUUAUCCAGGUUGACCUCGGAUCAGGUAGGGAUACCCGCUGAACUUAAGC